GCUCGGGUCCCCUUCCACACUGUGGAAGGUUUGUUCUUUUGCUCUUUGCAAUAAAUCUUGCUACUGCUCACUCUUUGGGUCCACACUGCUUUUAUGAGCUGUAACACUCACCGGGAAGGUCUGCAGCUUCACUCCUGAAGCCAGAGAGACCACGAGCCCACCGGGAGGAAGGAACAACUCCAGACGCCCCGCCUUAAGAGCUGUAACACUGACGGAGAACGUCUGCAGCUUCACUCCUGAGCCAGUGAGACCACGAACCCACCAGAAGGAAGAAACUCCGAACACAUCGGAACAUCAGAAGGCACAAACUCCAGACACGCCACCUUAAGAGCUGUAACACUCACCGCAAGGGUCCGCGGCUUCAUUCUUGAAGUCAGUGAGACCAAGAACCCACCAAUUCCGGACACACACCUGGAGACAUAAAAAGAUAAGAAUACUAUGAACAACUUUACACACAUAAAUUUGAAAACUUAAAAAAAUGAAUAAAUUCUUGGAAAAGCACAAACUUCCUUAAUUUAUCCAAUAUGAAAUACGUAAUUUGAAUAGUCCUAUCAUAAUAAGGAAAUUGAAUUCAAAAUUUUAAAAUUCAAAAAAGAAAUCUCCAGGCCCAGAUAGUUUCACUGAAUAUUCUAUUAAACAUUUAAAGAAUUAACAAAGUUUCUUUCCAUCUAUUUCAGAAAGUAGAAGAGGAGGAACUUUCCUAGGUGUUUUGUGAACUAGUAUUACCUUGAUCCCAAAGCCAGACAGCAUAAACAAAGGAAACUACAGACCACUAUACCUCAAGAAUACAAACACAAAAAUUCUUAAUAAAAUAUUAUGAAAUAGAAUUCAGCAAUAUGUAAAAAGAAUUGUAGAUCAUGACCAAGUGGGUUAAUUCCAGAGAUGUAAGGCUUGCUCAAUAUUUGAAAACCAAUCUAUUUAAUCCACUAUACUGAGAGGCAAAGGAAUAAAAAUGACACAAUGAUAUCUACUGAUGGCAGAAAAAGCAGUUGAUAAAAUUCAAUACCCCUUUAUGAUAAAAACUCUCCGAAAGUUAGGAAUAAGGGAAACUUCCUAAACAUGAUAAGAUCAUUGACAAAGCCUACAGCUAAUACCGUAUACUCAGCGAGGACAAAUUGAACUCUUUUUCUUUAAGAUCCAGAACAAGGAAAUAAUAUCUACUUUUAUUCAACGCAGUACUGGAAGUUCUAGCCACUGGAUAAGGCAAGAAAGGUGUGGUAAUGGUGUUGUGAGAGAGAAUACUCUUACUCUUGAAAGGAGUGCCAAAUGAAGUAUUAAGAGGUGAAAUUUCAUGACAUUGGUACACUACUUUCAGAAGGCUGGGCCAAAAAGAAGAACCUAUCCACAGAGACAUGUUGUUAACACAUAUUCACUGCACCAUUCCUUCAAGUUUUUGCUCUCAUGGGAGAUCAGAUUUCCAACCCCUCUUUGCAGUGGUUUUGGCUGCUCCUCUCACACUGAAAGCACAGGGGCCUUGGUCCUUCCAUUGAUUCAUAAGUACAACACCCUACUUCUUGGAUACAGAGCCAUCGCGGAAUGUUCGCUGGAGUGAGGCAGCGUAUGGAGCACAUGGGACAUGCAGACCCAGAUGGACAUCUUACAAACUUUCAGAGGAGCUGAAGCCAGAUUGUGAGUAUACAAUUCUGUUCAGUCAUCUUCUCCGAGAACCCUCUCUCAUCUUUUUUCUCAAAGACUGUCUCAUCCUCCUCUGCAAAUCCAACAGAAAGGACACAGUAGAGUGGGCAAGAAUGCAAAGAAGGUCUGUGGUUUGGAACUGGCCCAAGCCGAACUAAACUUUUCUAAAUAUACAUUAAACUGUCAACAAAGAGCACCGUGACCCACAGCCUGAAUAAAGGGAGAGCCCCAAGGCCCUCUGAAGCCACUAGUUCUGUGAGUUGUUUUAGGGAGAAGACAGACAACCAAGAAUUAUUUACCUUAUUAGACUGUGCCCAUCCAAGCCCAGGUAAAACUUUUUGAUCAGCAGAAAACUGGAAUUAUUUCCCUUUCUCUAUCCUGGAUUGAGUGUGAAUUCCCCAGAGAAACUUGGCUUUGAGAGCACUAGCUGGACAUAUAGGGGUCCAUUUCCAAUCUGCUCUGAGAAGGGCCCUGUCUUCAUCCUAAAGGAAGGCUUUAGAAAACUGUUAUCUAAGAUCUAGGAUUGAAGAUGGUGAGAACCUGAGGCUGAGCAAUUGGCCCCAAUUCUUCCUGAAGCAUUAUCUGAGAGAGAGAGCCUAGCCUGUGGUUUUUGACCCCUGGCAGAAGGGUGGAGAGAGGGAAGAAGAAAGAAGGAAGAUGAAGACAACUUCCUGCUCAAGACCAACCCAUCUCCCCUCAUUCUGGGGUGACCAAUUGAGAAAACAAUGAUAUCUCCCUUACUCUCAUCUGUUUCCAAAGGCUUUGCUUCAUCUACCAAAAAACCGUGUGAGUGAGAACCAUCUACCCUCAUGUGCUUAUUAAGCUCUUAGAGUCAUUCUCUGGUGACUAUAUUGAUUCAUUUAUUUGUACUCUAGGAACAUAAAACAAUAUGGCAUUAUUGACACAGAAAACAAAGAAUAGACAGAUAGCAUACAGCUGAACAACUUUAAUUACCAGGGUUCCAGUGUCUGUUUAACUAGCUGUGUAAAUAUGAGUAUUUGAAUUAAUUUUUCUAGGAUCAAUUUCCUUACUUCUAAAUGAGAAAGACGAGGCCAAAAGUUCUUAACCUUACUUCUGGCUUUACAACUGAAUGGUUCUCUGUUCCUAAUAAUGAGUUCCUUUUUUUUUUUUUUUUCUGAGACGAAGUCUCGCUCUGUCACCAGGCUGGAGUGCAGUGGCACAAUCUUGCUCACUGCAACCUCUGCCUCCCGGGUUCAAGCAAUUCUCCUGCCUCAGCCUCACGAGUAGCUGGGACUACACGCGCCUGCCACCAUACCCAGCUAAUUUUUGUAUUUUUAGUAGAGACAGGGUUUCACCAUGUUGGCCAGGAUGGUCUUGAUCUCUUGACCUCGUGAUCCGCCGGCCUCGGCCUCCCAAAGUGCUGAGAUUACAGGCGUGAGCCACCGCGCCUGGCCCUAAUAAUGAGUUCUUAUGAAUGGUAUAUGUACGCCAAAUAGAAAGCAUGCUAAUAGCUAAGAAGGAAUCGUGAAGGAUAAUGAGAAUUUGCUGCCUUUUCUAGUCAUUCUAGAGGAAUUUAUAAAUAAAUAAAAUGGUUUGAUAUGUAAGAAUAUCUGCUGAGCCAAACAGUGCACACUUCUUAGACAUAAGUUGUAGCCAAGGCAAUAAAGCUUAAGGAUGGAAUAGAAGCAUUAAGGAAAAUUUUCCUAGAAAGGAAAAAAAUGGAGGCAGAAAGGGUGGGAAAGGCAGACAGAAGUCAACUCAUAGGAAGCAGAGAGAUAAAGAGCUUUGAAAUAUAAUGUGAGGACCUAGACAUAUUUGAGAAGAGAGGUACUGGUCAAAACAAAGGACAGAGAUGGCAGAAGCCCACAGGAAACUUAUGGCCAAUGGUAGCAGUCAGUGAGGAUGAGUAGGGUAGUAAUAAUAUAUUAUAACUAAUUACUGCCAUUUAUUGAUCACUUACUAAGUAUUAAAAUUAUUUGUUAGGAAAUUUAUAAAUACCUUGUCUCCUUUCUAGAACUCUCUCCAAAGGAUAUGGUCAUAUUCAUCAUAUAGAUAAGUAAACUAAGGCUCAGGAAAAAUGACUUCCUCAAGGGCAAACCCAGGUCUGUCUGUGCUAUUUUUACUAUACCGUUGCUAUUUGUCCAUGAACAGGAAAAACCCUCAACUAGGGCCUUGAGCAAUCAAGAAUUAUUGGAAGGAAAAAUCGUUACAGGUAACCACUGAUAAAUCAGAUGGAACAAUCACUUUUUGAGCAAAGGGAUUGUGUCCUCUUUAUCUGCGUGUUCCCUGCAUUUAGCCCAGGGUCUAGCAACUUGUGAUAGACAAAGAUGUGUUAGAUCCCCCUUCAAAAAAGGACUUGCUGCUCAGCUGCUGGGGUGCAGUCAGCCUCCAGCCUCCAAUCAGCUCUGUAAGAGCUGGCCUCAGCUGUAAAUAAAAACUGCUUCAUUUCAGGUCAUGCUGGUAUCCAAUAACUGAGAAAGGAGUUGGGGGUAGGGGCAAAGAGGGGAGAGUGAAGGGGACAAAGGCCUGAAGCUAAUCAGGGACCCCUCUGAUGGCCAAUUCUGACUCCAGAGCUCCCUAUCAAGUGGGCCAAGUUCUUCUCAGCCCUACUCUGGAUAGUGACUUCUCCCUUGGCCCAAUUCUGUCUCUACCCACUCCUUUUCACAGGUGUUGAUCCCUAAUGAAUAUCCGGCACCCCGCAUUCCAUCUCGGUGACUGCUUCCAGAAAACACAAGCUGUGACAUGCCCAUUAUGUACUCAAUAAAUCUUUAAUAAUUGAGUGGAUAGAGUGAUGUGAGUUGAGAAGCAUUAUUAAAGAUUAUUUUCCCAAAAAUAAACAAAAAAAAUGUGCCCAUUGGCUGGUGACUAGAAUUCUACAAUUAGAGGUUUAUUCCUUUGUCUUAAUGCUUCUGCUUUUGUAAAUACCCCCGUAAUAAACGCAUGUUAAGUUUAUUAGACACCUAUUCCCCAGUGUAAACAAAGUCCUGGAAGCACAUUCUAACAGGAAGAGAGAGGGAAAAAAGUAUGAGAGCACCAAUGGACAAACAUCAGGAGCAAGUUACCUGGAUUCAGUCCUGGUUCCACCACUUGCUAGAUCUGUGUCAUUAGACCAAUCAAUUGACCUCUCUGUGCCUCCGUUUUUGUUCCUGUAAAAUGGGAACAAUAACUGUAACUACUUCCAAGUAUUGUUAUGAAAAUUGAAUGAGUUAAAAUAUAAAAAUGUUAGAGACUAGGGAAUAUGAGACUAGUCAAUGAAUGUCUAGUGGAGACAAGAAAAAGUGAACAAAAUUAUACAAGUGCUAUUAAUAAUACAGUCAGAUUUAUAUAUUUUUUCCAUCACACUGACCUCCAAUCCAGGCUGGGAAAUGGGUUUUUUAAAUCUCUUGCGUGUUUUCCAUCACUUGAACUACCAUAUUGUUUUACAAUUAUUUGUCUUGUGUCUACUGCCACCCUUACCUCACCACUGUGAGAUCCUUAGAGGUAAAAUAUUCUAUCUUAUUCAUCCUUAUAUCCCCUUCCAUUCAUCCAUUUAUUCUUUUUUUCUAACUUUUAAGUUCAUAGGUACAUGUACAGGUUUGUUACAUAGAUAAACUUGUGUCACGUGGAUUUGUUGUACGGAUUAUUUCAUCACCUAGGUAUUAACUCUAGUACCCAUUAGUUAUUUUUCCUGAUCCUCUCCCUCCUCCCACUCACUACCCUCCAGUAGGCCCCAGUGUGCGUCAUUCCCCUCUAUGUGUCCAUGUGUUCUCAUCACUUAGCUCCCACUUGUAAGUGAAAAUAUGUGGUGUUUGGUUUUCUGUUCCUGUGUUAGUUCGGUAAGGAUAAUGACCUCCAGCUCCAUCCAUGUCCCUGCAAAGGACAUGAUAUCAUUCUUUUUUAUGGCUGCAUGGUAUUCCAUGGUGUAUAUGCACCACAUUUUCUUUAUUCAGUCUAUCAUUAAUUCAUAUGUUCAUUCAUUAAAUAAAUAUUA
rnacentral:lncRNA from 1 species